GAUGAACGCUGGCGGCGUGCCUAAUACAUGCAAGUCGAGCGAACGGACGAGAAGCUUGCUUUUCUGAUGUUAGCGGCGGACGGGUGAGUAACACGUGGAUAACCUACCUAUAAGACUGGGAUAACUUCGGGAAACCGGAGCUAAUACCGGAUAAUAUUUUGAACCGCAUGGUUCAAAAGUGAAAGACGGUCUUGCUGUCACUUAUAGAUGGAUCCGCGCUGCAUUAGCUAGUUGGUAAGGUCACGGCUUACCAAGGCAACGAUGCAUAGCCGACCUGAGAGGGUGAUCGGCCACACUGGAACUGAGACACGGUCCAGACUCCUACGGGAGGCAGCAGUAGGGAAUCUUCCGCAAUGGGCGAAAGCCUGACGGAGCAACGCCGCGUGAGUGAUGAAGGUCUUCGGAUCGUAAAACUCUGUUAUUAGGGAAGAACAUAUGUGUAAGUAACUGUGCACAUCUUGACGGUACCUAAUCAGAAAGCCACGGCUAACUACGUG
rnacentral:rRNA from 1 species